rnacentral:misc_RNA from 1 species
UUUCCGUUGGUGAACCAGCGGAAGGAUCAUUACAGAGAUCGUGCCCUUCGGGGUAGACCUCCCACCCUGUGUUAUUUACGUAUGUUGCUUUGGCGGGCCGCCUCCGGGCUCUCGGCUUCGGCCGAGGUGUGCCCGCCAGAGAACCCACAACCCUGUGUUUAGUGUCGUCUGGGUAUUAUCAAAUAAGUUAAAACUUUCAACAACGGAUCUCUUGGUUCUG